GCACCUUUGUUGGGGGUAUAAAUAGAAUACACAGUUCCAAGGUGAGGGUUAUCUGUGUUCUUAUUACCUCUGAGAUUGUGUUUUGCACCAUGUGCCAGAAUGGCUGUAAGGUGUCGCACGUCCACCAUAUGUGGGACAUGGUGCCUCUAUGGAGCCCACACCUCCAACAUUUGUCCGUGGAGCGUGGCCAUAUUUUGUGGAGUCUAGCCGGCACCAUGUACCAGCGAUAUUGCAGUUUGCGUUGUAGUUCUAGGUGUGUGGCGCAUGAGGUCAC